rnacentral:rRNA from 1 species
AGAGUUUGAUCAUGGCUCAGGAUGAACGCUAGCUACAGGCUUAACACAUGCAAGUCGAGGGGAAACGACAUCGAAAGCUUGCUUUUGAUGGGCGUCGACCGGCGCACGGGUGAGUAACGCGUAUCCAACCUGCCCAUCACUUGGGGAUAACCUUGCGAAAGUAAGACUAAUACCCAAUGAUAUCUCUAGAAGGCAUCUGAAAGAGAUUAAAGAUUUAUCGGUGAUGGAUGGGGAUGCGUCUGAUUAGGCUUGUUGGCGGGGUAACGGCCACCAAAGCAACGAUCAGUAGGGGUUCUGAGAGGAAGGUCCCCCANAUUGGAACUGAGACACGGUCCAAACUCCUACGGGAGCA